GAUCCUGGCUCAGGACGAACGCUGGCGGCGUGCCUAACACAUGCAAGUCGAGCGGAGACAGUGAGUAGCUUGCUACGAGCUGUUUUAGCGGCGGACGGGUGAGUAACGCGUGUGCAACCUUUCCCAGACAGGGGAAUAACACACCGAAAGGUGUACUAAUACCGCAUAAGACCACGGGAUCACAUGGUUCUGGGGGUAAAAGAUUUAUCGGUUUGGGGUGGGCUCGCGUCCGAUUAGGUAGUUGGUGAGGUAACGGCCC
rnacentral:rRNA from 1 species